CUUCCAUGAAGCUGGAAUUGCUAGUAAUGGCAGGUCAGCAUACUGCCGUGAAUACGUUCCCGGGCCUUGUACACACCGCCCGUCACACCAUGAGAGUUGGGAAUACCCGAAGCCUGUGAGCUAACUUAUAGAGGCAGCAGUCGAAGGUAGAAUCAAUGAUUGGGGUGAAGUCGUAACAAGGUACC
rnacentral:rRNA from 1 species